GGAAGUUCCGAGGCGCACCGACAGGGUGCGGUUCCCUUCUGACUUCGCUGUCCUUGCUCCUCAGUGGAGAAGUGGUUCAAAAGUGUGUCCACCACCGUGAGAGUUGAAGAUUUGAUCACAGCGCAAUACGCACGCUCAUACUAACGAUCCGAGGUGGCUACAAUAACUUAUCACAGAGUUUCUUUAUUCGAAAUUAUAGUGAAUGUUCGUGUUCAACAGCCUGUACAGUUUUAUCUAUCUUGGAUAUUAAAAAAAGACAAAUCGUUUCUUUAUCGACCAGCGUUAUGGAUGUUUCUAAAGGUGUCUUGAUUUUCACUCUAGUCUGCACGUUGCGACCCAUGCUGUCCAUUCAGAUAUGUGACAUCAUGCUGGAGAUGGACAAGGAGAGAGAGACGUGCAUGGCCCAGUUAGAAAACAUGACAACAGGUUGCAGUGGGAUGUGGGACAAGGUGGCCUGCUGGCCCAGCGCCAAUACAGGACAGGUGGUCACCAUCCCCUGCCCUGUCUACUUCUUAUACUUGACCAACGACUUCAUCAUGGGUAACCUGUCGAAGACCUGCACCAGUGAUGGCUGGUCUGAGGUUAGCCCUGCUUCCUAUGCACUGAAUUGUGGGUACAACGCCAAUGUCACCAAAGUUGAUGAUGAUGACAAGGCGGAGUUCUACUGGGCAGUGAAAGUAGGCUACACUAUCGGACACAGUCUCUCUCUCAUCUCCCUCACUAUCGCUAUCGUCCUACUCUGCACUUUUAGGAAGUUGCACUGCACCAGAAACUACAUCCACAUGAACCUGUUUGUGGCGUUCAUACUGAAAGCCAUUGCCGUCUUCAUCAAAGAUGUGGUUUUAUACGAGGUCGCGGAGUCCGACUGUCAACCUGAAACUGUGGGAUGUAAGGCAGGGGUUGUCUUCUUCCAGUACGGCAUCAUGACCAGCUACUUCUGGCUAUUGGUCGAAGGCCUCUACGUCCACACCCUAUUGGCUGUCUCCUUCUUCUCCGAGAGGAAGUACUUCUGGUGGUAUAUUCUGAUUGGCUGGGGAGCGCCAACUGUUUUCAUCACAGCUUGGGUUAUUACAAAGGCUUAUUUAAAACACUCUGGGUGUUGGGACAUUAUUAACGACCAUCCCUGGUGGAUCAUCAAAAUGCCAAUAUUACUGACCAUACUGGUCAACUUCAUCCUGUUCAUCUGUAUAAUCCGGAUCCUGCGUCAGAAAAUGAAUUGCAGAGACAUAGGAAGGAAGGAAUCUCAUCAAUACUCGAGGUUGGCUAAAUCCACACUACUGUUGAUACCUCUGUUCGGAAUCAACUACAUCAUCUUUGCCUUCAUCCCUGAAGACAUCAACACUCGAAUCAGGAUGGUCAUCGACCUGAUUCUAGGAUCCUUCCAGGGGUUUGGGGUUGCAGUCCUGUAUUGUUUCCUAAAUGGAGAGGUGCAGGGGGAGGUGAAGCGUAAGUGGCGGCGAUGGCACAUGCAAAGGUUUCUGGGUAAAGGAGACACCAAAUACCAGCAGCCCCAGUAUCUGGGUAGCAACGGUAAUAACUUCAGCACUCAGAUCACCAUGCUGACCAGGUGUAGCCCCACCACACGUCGAGCUUCCGACUGCCAGGAACACUUCUCUGCUAUCUGAGCCCAGCUCUGGGUGGUAACAGAGGGCAGAGAAGAGGAGGAAACAGAGAUGAGCUGCACUGAAGCGCUGUUUAGUAUUCAGUCAGCACAGUAGAGACCACCAGCCAACCACACACAACAACAGCAAUGAUAGGCUUAGAUCAGGAAAGCCGCGGACCAAUUUAACACAAUUUAUUUAGCUUGUUUUUUGUUUAAUUUAGGAAAUCAGUUCCCAAGUAUUCAUACAAAAAAAAAAAAAAAGAGAGACAUCGUGUCUCAAUAUAAUCAAGGUAUGAAAUUAUUGUUAUUUUCAAAAUGUCUUUUUGGGCUUAGUUGUGGUUGCAGUGUACACAUUUUUACAUGGGGCAGCAGGUAGUCUAGCGGUUAGAGAGAAGCGAGCCAGCAACCGAAGGUUUGCCCGGGUCUGACGGGAAAAAUCUGGCAAAAAGUGAGCUGGCAACCGGAGGUUUGCUGGUAUCAACACACUUAACCCCCCCCCCCCCCACAACAACAGCUCCCCAGGCACUCAGUGUGGCAGCCUCGACACCUCCAAAACCUGUAUACUGUAUGUAUGUAUGUAUGUAUGUAUGUGUGUCUUUCGGAGGGGUUGGGUUAAAAGCGGAAGUUACAUUUCGGUUAGACGUUGUUGACGAAUAAAGUGAUCUAAAGCUUCAUAACAAUGUUCCGGUCCUCCAACCGGCCGCAAUGACAAAAAUCAGCCGUGGCUAAAUCUAGUCACCUAAUCCCUGGUCUACACUAUGUGUUAAAUCCAAAAAACCUUCCAGUUUGAAUCACCAUUGGAUAUAUCUGUGUGUGUAUUGAGUGUUGUGUUAGUCCGUGUGGCAGGGUUGAAGUCAAUUCCAUUUUAAUUCUAGUCAAAUUCAGAAAGUAAAACCAAAUUCCAAAUUUUAAUCAUGGAAAACCAUUCAAGAGAAUUGGAAUUUCAGUGUACUUCCUGAAUUAGAAAUGGAAUUGACCCCAACUCUGCUGUGUGACUUGAGAUAAUCGUAACUUUACAUUGGUCUCAUGAGCUAGCUACAGAAGCCUGAUCCCAGAUCUGUAACAUACUGUAUGUGCUUUAGCCAGCUUCUUUGUCAUACAUGUUUGACAUGACAACAAAUGAACAUGAACAGAGAAGUUGGCUAACAGAAGAGCAACCGGUUAGGAGCUACGGCUAGGUAUUAGGCUAGGAGCUGGGUAACAGGCUAGGAGCUAGGACUGGGUAACAGGCUAGGAGCUGGGUAACAGGCUAGGAGCUAGGACUGGGUAACAGGCUAGGAGCUAGGACUGGGUAACAGGCUAGGAGCUAGGACUGGGUAACAGGCUAGGAGCUAGGACUGGGUAACAGGCUAUGAGCUAGGACUGGGUAACAGGCUAGGAGCUGGGUAACAGGCUAGGAGCUAGGACUGGGUAACAGGCUAGGAGCUAGGACUGAGUAACAGGCUAGGAGCUGGGUAACAGGCUAGGAGCUAGGACUGGGUAACAGGCUAUGAGCUAGGACUGGGUAACAGGCUAGGAGCUAGGACUGGGUAACAGGCUAGGAGCUAGGACUGGGUAACAGGCUAGGAGCUGGGUAACAGGCUAGGAGCUAGGACUGGGUAACAGGCUAGGAGCUAGGACUGGGUAACAGGCUAGGAGCUACGACUAGGUAACAGGCUAGGAGCUAGGACUGGGUAACAGGCCAGGAGCUAAGACUAGGUAACUGGCUAGGAGCUAGGACUGGGUAACAGGCCAGGAGCUAGGACUGGGUAACAGGCCAGGAGCUAAGACUAGGUAUUAGGCUAGGACUGGGUAACAGGCCAGGAGCUAAGACUAGGUAACAGGUUAGGACUAGGUAACAGACUAGGCGCUUGGACUAGGUAACAGGCUAGGAGCUAGGACUGGGUAACAGGCUAGGAGCUAGGACUGGGUAACAGGCCAGGAGCUAAGACUAGGUAACAGGUUAGGAGCUAAGACUAGGUAACAGACUAGGAGCUAGAACUAGGUAACAGACUAGGAACUAGGAGUAGGUAACAGACUAGGAGCUAGGACUAGGUAACAGGCUAGGAGCUAGGACUAUGUAACAGGCUAGGAGCUAGAUAACAGGCUAGGUGAUAGGACUAGGUAACAGGCUAGGAGCUAGUACUCGGUAACAUGUAGGAGCUAGGCAACCGGCUAGGAGCUAGGUAACAGGCUAGGAGCUAGGACUGGGUAACAGGUAUGGAGAUAGGUAACAGGCUAGGAGCUAGGACUAGGUAACAUGCUAGGAACUAAGACUAGGUAACAGACUAGAAGUUAAGACUAGUUAACAGGCUAGGAGCAAGGUAACAGGAUAGGAGCUAGCUAACAGACUAGGAGCUAGCACUAGGAAACAGGCUAGGAGCUAGGACUAGGUAAGAGACUAGGAGCUAGGUAACAGUCUACGACCUAGAAUUAGGUAACAUGGUAGGACUAGGUAAAAGGCUAGGACUAGGUAACAGACUAGGAGCUAGGUAACAGUCUACGACCUAGAAUUAGGUAACAUGGUAGGACUAGGUAAAAGGCUAGGACUUGGUAACAGACUAGGCGCUUGGACUAGGUAACAGGUACGGAGCUAGGUAACAGGCUAGGAGCUAGGACUAGGUAACAUGCUAGGAACUAAGACUAGGUAACAGACUAGAAGCUAGGACUAGGUAACAGGCUAGGACUAGGUAACAGGCUAGGAGCUAAGACUAGUUAACAGGCUAGGAGCAAGGUAACAGGAUAGGAGCUAGCUAACAGACUAGGAGCUAGCACUAGGAAACAGGCUAGGUGCUAGGACUAGGUAACAGGCCAGGACUAGGUAACAGGCUAGGACUCGAUAACAGGCAUAGGCUAAGUCUAGGUAACAGGCUAGGACUAGGUAACAGGCUGGGAGCUAGGACUAUGUAACAGGCAAGGAGCUGGGACUAUGUAACAGGUUAGGUGCAAGAGUGAUUGACUGGCUGUGCUGGCCAGUUCACGUUACUCAACUUUAGAGUCACACGUUGUCGACGUGGCAGCAUCUACAUUGGAAGGAUCUCAAAGUGAAACGUUAUCCACGUGGUCCAGUCUAUAUUGGAAGCAUCUGGUCUCCUCCCUUAUCUAUCUAGUAUCCAGCUGUCCAUGAUCAACCAUUGACGAAGACACUUUUAUGUACCAGAAUUAUGUUGUGUUGAAACAUAGCUGGAUAACAUUCCAAGAAAAGAAGCUUAUAGUUUUCAUAGAAUUUAUGUGCGGGAUUGAAGCGGCAAGAUGUUUUCAUUGUAAGGCCGAGUCUCUUAGUGCAUAGUUUGGUGUGCAGACAGUCAGGUAUUUUUCAGUCUUGCUCUUACAUUCCCCCUCCCUUUAAAAAAAUAGUUUUGAGUUUCACUACAGAUGCACCUGUAUGUGUUUUUCAUUAAAAACGUAAACUUAUCCACGAAAGAUCAUAAGUGGGAAGACCAGGCGGUUAGCCAUGGUGUUUAGCCACAUGGUGAAGUUUCCUCCCAUAGCUCCUAACCUGUUGCCACGUCUACGAGGUAAGAUAUCUCAUUUCAAUGGUACUGAAUUGUUUCCCACUUGGUUUCUAAAACCUUUUCAGAAAUCUGUGUUGUUUACCUUGUUGUAUUUCAUUGUACAUGUGAAUACGUGAAUGUACCUCUCACCUAAAAAUGUCAUACAAUGGUUCCAGCGACGGGCGAAGCUGCAUAUACAGUAGGAAUGAAGUACGUGUUUUAUCAUGUGUUUUAUUGUGGUUAUUUACAGUUCUCAGGUGUUGACUGGAUUUCAAUGCAUAUCAUGUAUUAUGUCAUUAUUUUUAAGUUUUGUAUUUGUGUUACGUGUUCAGUUGUAUUAUUUUAAACACACUGUAUCGAUAUUCUCAGUCAUUUGAUAGGAUAUCUAUCUACAAGAAUAACUAUGUUUGACAUUCUAUGGAAUGCUUUGGAACAUUCCGAACAACACAAAAAAAAAGUGUGGUGUAAGCAAGUGUUUUGUAAAUAUUGUGCAAUUCUGUUUUUGGAUUCAGUUUAAAGGAUGUUCUAGUAAAGACGGAAGCAAAUGAAACCCUUUGCGUUUUCUUCU